rnacentral:lncRNA from 1 species
GAUAUCGUUAUUUCUAAGGGAUCGUUUAAACAUCGAUUUCCCAAACAUUUAAACGAUCACAAAGUCGAUUGGAUAGUUUAAUCGACGAUUUCCCAACCGAUUAAAUUACCCAAAAGCAUUAAGUCCUAGAUUAAAAGUGAUUAUCAAAUAUUAACAUCCAUGUCUAGAGUGAUAACUUAAGAUAGAUUGUUAUUCUAUUUCUAGAUUCAAAAGU